GUGUAGUGCGAUGUGGGGACGGAGAAGGUUAGCUCAGCCAACUGUUGGAUAUGUUGGUUCAAGCCUGUAGUCGUGCCUGGUAGGUAAAUCCGCCGGGCUUAGAUGAGGGGUGAUAACGAGGCUGCUUGCAGCCGAAGUGAGUGAUACCCUGCUUCCAGGAAAAGCCACUAAGCUUCAGCUACACACGACCGUACCGCAAACCGACACUGGUGCGCGAGAUGAGUAUUCUAAGGCGCUUGAGAGAACUCAGGAGAAGGAACUCGGCAAAUUGACACCGUAACUUCGGAAGAAGGUGUGCCUUUAGUAGGUGAACCUGUACAAGGGGAGCCCAAUGAGGUUGCAAAAAAUCGGUGGCUGCGACUGUUUAUUAAAAACACAGCACUCUGCAAACACGAAAGUGGACGUAUAGGGUGUGACGCCUGCCCGGUGCUGGAAGAUUAAAUGAUGGGGUGCAAGCUCUUGAUUGAAGUCCCAGUAAACGGCGGCCGUAACUAUAACGGUCCUAAGGUAGCGAAAUUCCUUGUCGGGUAAGUUCCGACCUGCACGAAUGGCGUAACGAUGGCCACACUGUCUCCUCCUGAGACUCAGCGAAGUUGAAAUGUUUGUGAUGAUGCAAUCUCCCCGCGGAAAGACGGAAAGACCCCAUGAACCUUUACUGUAGCUUUGUAUUGGACUUUGAACAGAUCUGUGUAGGAUAGGUGGGAGGCUUUGAAGCAGGGUCGCUAGAUUUUGUGGAGCCAACGUUGAAAUACCACCCUGGUGUGUUUGAGGUUCUAACCUAGGUCCAUUAUCUGGAUCGGGGACAGUGCAUGGUAGGCAGUUUGACUGGGGCGGUCUCCUCCCAAAGCGUAACGGAGGAGUUCGAAGGUACGCUAGUUACGGUCGGACAUCGUGACGAUAGUGCAAUGGCAUAAGCGUGCUUAACUGCGAGACUGACAAGUCGAGCAGAUGCGAAAGCAGGACAUAGUGAUCCGGUGGUUCUGUAUGGAAGGGCCAUCGCUCAACGGAUAAAAGGUACUCUGGGGAUAACAGGCUGAUACCGCCCAAGAGUUCAUAUCGACGGCGGUGUUUGGCACCUCGAUGUCGGCUCAUCUCAUCCUGGGGCUGUAGCCGGUCCCAAGGGUAUGGCUGUUCGCCAUUUAAAGAGGUACGUGAGCUGGGUUUAAAACGUCGUGAGACAGUUUGGUCCCUAUCUUCCGUGGGCGCUGCAGAUUUGAGGAAGCCUGCUCCUAGUACGAGAGGACCGGAGUGGACAUACCUCUGGUGUAUCGGUUGUCACGCCAGUGGCAUUGCCGAGUAGCUAAGUAUGGAAGAGAUAAACGCUGAAAGCAUCUAAGCGUGAAACUCGUUUCAAGAUGAGAUCUGCCGGGGCCUUGAGCCCCCUAAAGAGUCGUCCAAGACCAGGACGUUGAUAGGUCAGGUGUGGAAGCGCAGUAAUGCGUUAAGCUAACUGAUACUAAUUGCUCGUGCGGCUUGACC
rnacentral:rRNA from 1 species